rnacentral:rRNA from 1 species
CGACAGCAAUAUGAAGGUCAGGCUGAAGACCUUACCCGAUUAGCUGAGAGGUGGUGCAUGGCCGUCGUCAGUUCGUACUGUGAAGCAUCCUGUUAAGUCAGGCAACGAGCGAGACCCACGUCCACAGUUGCCAGCAUACCCUCCGGGGUGAUGGGUACACUGUGGAGACCGCCGCUGCUAAAGCGGAGGAAGGAGUGGGCAACGGUAGGUCAGUAUGCCCCGAAUCUCCCGGGCUACACGCGGGCUACAAUGGUUGGUACAAUGGGCAUCUACCCCGAAAGGGGAGGGAAAUCUCUUAAAGCCAAUCGUAGUUCGGAUUGAGGGCUGCAACUCGCCCUCAUGAAGCUGGAAUCCGUAGUAAUCGCGUUUCAACAGAACGCGGUGAAUACGUCCCUGCUCCUU